rnacentral:rRNA from 1 species
GGUCAAGUGAAGAAGCGCAUACGGUGGAUGCCUUGGCAGUCAGAGGCGAUGAAAGACGUGGUAGCCUGCGAAAAGCUUCGGGGAGUCGGCAAACAGACUUUGAUCCGGAGAUCUCUGAAUGGGGGAACCCACCUAGGAUAACCUAGGUAUCUUGUACUGAAUCCAUAGGUGCAAGAGGCGAACCAGGGGAACUGAAACAUCUAAGUACCCUGAGGAAAAGAAAUCAACCGAGAUUCCCUUAGUAGUGGCGAGCGAACGGGGAUUAGCCCUUAAGCUUCAUUGAUUUUAGCGGAACGCUCUGGAAAGUGCGGCCAUAGUGGGUGAUAGCCCCGUACGCGAAAGGAUCUUUGAAGUGAAAUCGAGUAGGACGGAGCACGAGAAACUUUGUCUGAACAUGGGGGGACCAUCCUCCAAGGCUAAAUACUACUGACUGACCGAUAGUGAACCAGUACCGUGAGGGAAAGGCGAAAAGAACCCCGGAGAGGGGAGUGAAAUAGAACCUGAAACCGUAUGCGUACAAGCAGUGGGAGCCUACUUGUUAGGUGACUGCGUACCUUUUGUAUAAUGGGUCAGCGACUUAUAUUCAGUGGCAAGCUUAACCGUAUAGGGUAGGCGUAGCGAAAGCGAGUCUUAAUAGGGCGUUUAGUCGCUGGGUAUAGACCCGAAACCGGGCGAUCUAUCCAUGAGCAGGUUGAAGGUUAGGUAACACUGACUGGAGGACCGAACCCACUCCCGUUGAAAAGGUAGGGGAUGACUUGUGGAUCGGAGUGAAAGGCUAAUCAAGCUCGGAGAUAGCUGGUUCUCCUCGAAAGCUAUUUAGGUAGCGCCUCAUGUAUCACUCUGGGGGGUAGAGCACUGUUUCGGCUAGGGGGUCAUCCCGACUUACCAAACCGAUGCAAACUCCGAAUACCCAGAAGUGCCGAGCAUGGGAGACACACGGCGGGUGCUAACGUCCGUCGUGAAAAGGGAAACAACCCAGACCGCCAGCUAAGGUCCCAAAGUUGUGGUUAAGUGGUAAACGAUGUGGGAAGGCUUAGACAGCUAGGAGGUUGGCUUAGAAGCAGCCACCCUUUAAAGAAAGCGUAAUAGCUCACUAGUCGAGUCGGCCUGCGCGGAAGAUGUAACGGGGCUCAAACCACACACCGAAGCUGCGGGUGUCACGUAAGUGACGCGGUAGAGGAGCGUUCUGUAAGCCUGUGAAGGUGAGUUGAGAAGCUUGCUGGAGGUAUCAGAAGUGCGAAUGCUGACAUGAGUAACGACAAUGGGUGUGAAAAACACCCACGCCGAAAGACCAAGGGUUCCUGCGCAACGUUAAUCGACGCAGGGUUAGUCGGUUCCUAAGGCGAGGCUGAAAAGCGUAGUCGAUGGGAAACAGGUUAAUAUUCCUGUACUUCUGGUUACUGCGAUGGAGGGACGGAGAAGGCUAGGCCAGCUUGGCGUUGGUUGUCCAAGUUUAAGGUGGUAGGCUGAAAUCUUAGGUAAAUCCGGGGUUUCAAGGCCGAGAGCUGAUGACGAGUCGUCUUUUAGAUGACGAAGUGGUUGAUGCCAUGCUUCCAAGAAAAGCUUCUAAGCUUCAGGUAACCAGGAACCGUACCCCAAACCGACACAGGUGGUCGGGUAGAGAAUACCAAGGCGCUUGAGAGAACUCGGGUGAAGGAACUAGGCAAAAUGGCACCGUAACUUCGGGAGAAGGUGCGCCGGCUAGGGUGAAGGAUUUACUCCGUAAGCUCUGGCUGGUCGAAGAUACCAGGCCGCUGCGACUGUUUAUUAAAAACACAGCACUCUGCAAACACGAAAGUGGACGUAUAGGGUGUGACGCCUGCCCGGUGCCGGAAGGUUAAUUGAUGGGGUUAGCGCAAGCGAAGCUCUUGAUCGAAGCCCCGGUAAACGGCGGCCGUAACUAUAACGGUCCUAAGGUAGCGAAAUUCCUUGUCGGGUAAGUUCCGACCUGCACGAAU